UGCAUCUGUGACCAAUUGGGAUGCGGAGGGGACAAGUUGCAGCCUGGUAUUAGAGGAUAAUCCACUUGUAGACUUUGUUGAACUUCCUGACACAUGCCAAGGUCUUUAUUACUGCAAUAUACUGAGCGGAGUUAUCAGAGGAGCACUGGAAAUGGUGUCGAUGAAGACGGAAGUGACCUGGGUUCGGGACAUGCUGCAUGGGGAUGAUGCCUAUGAGCUGCGAGUGAAACUUCUGAAGCAAGUUCCAGAAGAAUACCCAUACAAAGAUGACGAGUAAGAUCGCUAUAAGG
rnacentral:misc_RNA from 1 species